UAGUGGCGAACGGGUGAGUAACACGUGGGCAAUCUGCCCUUCACUCUGGGACAAGCCCUGGAAACGGGGUCUAAUACCGGAUAACACUCUGUCCCGCAUGGGACGGGGUUAAAAGCUCCGGCGGUGAAGGAUGAGCCCGCGGCCUAUCAGCUUGUUGGUGGGGUGAUGGCCUACCAAGGCGACGACGGGUAGCCGGCCUGAGAGGGCGACCGGCCACACUGGGACUGAGACACGGCCCAGACUCCUACGGGAGGCAGCAGUGGGGAAUAUUGCACAAUGGGCGAAAGCCUGAUGCAGCGACGCCGCGUGAGGGAUGACGGCCUUCGGGUUGUAAACCUCUUUCAGCAGGGAAGAAGCGAAAGUGACGGUACCUGCAGAAGAAGCGCCGGCUAACUACGUGCCAGCAGCCGCGGUAAUACGUAGGGCGCAAGCGUUGUCCGGAAUUAUUGGGCGUAAAGAGCUCGUAGGCGGCUUGUUGCGUCGGUUGUGAAAGCCCGGGGCUUAACCCCGGGUCUGCAGUCGAUACGGCCAGGCUAGAGUGUGGUAGGGG
rnacentral:rRNA from 1 species